rnacentral:rRNA from 1 species
UACGAAGGGGGCUAGCGUUGCUCGGAAUCACUGGGCGUAAAGGGUGCGUAGGCGGGUUUUUAAGUCAGGGGUGAAAUCCUGGAGCUCAACUCCAGAACUGCCUUUGAUACUGAAGAUCUUGAGUCCGGGAGAGGUGAGUGGAACUGCGAGUGUAGAGGUGAAAUUCGUAGAUAUUGGGAAGAACACCGGUGGCGGAGGCGGCGCUCUGGACCGAGACUGACGCUGAGGCGCGAAAGCGUGGGGAGCAAACAGG